GCCUGUAGAAUCAGGUAAUGUAGACAGAGCUGCAGAACAGAAGAGCCAUGGCAACCACUGGAGUCUGGCAGGGAACCAUAAGCUCUUGAGUUCUAUAAGCUGCCAUUUGUGCAUAAGGUUAGCAGGACAGAGUCCUUACUGCAGUCAGGUGCAGCUGGCAGCCUGGGAGUAACAACAGCCUGUUUAUCAUACACACAAAGAUGAGGAACUCAGCUGAACUCUGAGGUGAGGUGACAUGCUAACCUCCACCAAAGAAGCAAACUAGAAAUCCCAGCUGGGGCAGGGCAGGCUCCGAAUACCGGCAGAAACAGAACCACGGACAUCAGUUUUUCUGGAUUUCAAAGCUCCGGGGAUAAAGUUCUAAUUAAAGUUAUUUUUAACUGCA